UUUGGUUAAGUUAUUAAGGGCACACGGUGAAUGCCUUGGUACGGAUAGGCGAUGAAGGACGCGACUACCUGCGAUAAGCCACGGAUAGGUGGAAAUAACCUAAGACCCGUGGAUUUCCGAAUGGGGCAACCCAUCCCGAGUAAUGUUGGGAUAUCUGCAACUGAAUCCAUAGGUUGUACGAAGCUAACCCGGGGAACUGAAACAUCUAAGUACCCGGUGGAAGAAAAAACAAUAGUGAUUUCCUUAGUAGUGGCGAGCGAAAAGGAAAUAGCCUAAACUGUAUGACGUGUUAAAGGUGGUAACCCUUGCGUCAACAGAGUUGUGGGACUUGUUCAGGCUGAAUUACCAAUAAGCCGAAGAGUCAAAAAUUAUAUUGCUAGCUGAAAGUUCUGGAAAGUUCUACCAUAGAAGGUGAUAGUCCUGUAAGCGAAAGUAAUAUAACUCUUUGGAACAAGAUCCCAAGUACCGCGAAAUAAGUGGAAGUUUGUGGGAAUCUGCCAGAACCAUCUGGUAAGGCUAAAUACUCAUCCGUAACCGAUAGUGAACAAGUACCGUGAGGGAAAGGUGAAAAGAACUCCUUGUAGGAGAGUGAAAUAGUACCUGAACCCGUGUGCUUACAAACGGUUGGAGUCCCGAUUUAUCGGGAUGACAGCGUGCCUUUUGGAUAAUGAGCCAACGAGUUACUCGUAUGUUGCAAGGUUAAUUCCCUAAGGGAAGCAGCCACAGCGAAAGCGAGUCCUAAUCGGGCGAUUGAAGUAACAUGCGGUAGACGCGAAACCGGGUGAUCUACCCUUGUCCAGGAUGAAGUGAGGGUAAAACCUCAUGGAGGUCCGAACUAUUGCGGGUUGAAAACUGCUUGGAUGAGAUGAGGGUAGGGGUGAAAGGCCAAUCAAACUCGGAAAUAGCUCGUAUUCCUCGAAAUAGCUUUAGGGCUAGCCUCGAUUAAUAGUAUGCGGGAGGUAGAGCACUGAUUGGGCUAGGGCUGUCACAACGGUACCAAACCCAGACAAACUCCGAAUGCCCGUCAUAUGUUUUUCGGGAGUCAGGCUGUGAGGGAUAAGCUUCACGGCCAAGAGGGGAACAACCCAGACCACCAACUAAGGUCCCUAAAUAAUAGUUAACAGAGAAAGGAUGUUAAGUUGCUUAGACAACUAGGAUGUUGGCUUAGAAGCAGCCAUUCAUUUAAAGAGUGCGUAAUAGCUCACUAGUCAAGCGACUUAGCGUCGACAAUACACGGGACUUAAACUAUUUACCGAAGUUGUGGAUCCGGCAUUAGCCGGGUGGUAGAGGAACAUUCUAUAUGCAUCGAAGGUUAACUGCGAGGUUAACUGGAGCGUAUAGAAAAGCAAAUGUUGGCAUUAGUAACGAUAAUCUCGGUGCAAAACCGAGACGCCGAAAAUCUAAGGUUUCCUGAGCAAUGUUAGUCAUCUCAGGGUUAGUCGGAUCCUAAGCUGAGGCUGAAAGGCGUAGGUGAUGGCAAACAGGUUAAUAUUCCUGUACCUGGUGAAUUUCGUUUGACCGUAAGGAGAGACGCAGGAGUGAAGAUCAGCCAUCUGUUGGAUUAGAUGGUCUAAGCAUGUAGGCUGAAAGCGUUGGCAAAUCCGCGCUUUCUUAAGGCUGAGAUGCGAACGGGAGUCCUUUGGACGCAAACUGAUCGUAAUCAUACUGCCGAGAAAAUCUUCGUACGGGAGAAAUUUAUCAGUCCGUACCGCAAACCGACACAGGUAGAUGGGAUGAGUAUUCUAAGGCGCUCGAGUGAGCCGUGGUUAAGGAACUCGGCAAAUUAACCCCGUAACUUCGGGAGAAGGGGUGCCUCUUGUAAGUGAUGUCCUUCGCGGGCAUAGCUGAAAGAGGCCGCAGUGAAAUGGCCCAAGCGACUGUUUAACAAAAACACAUGUCUCUGCGAAGUCAAUCAAGACGAUGUAUAGGGACUGACACCUGCCGAAGCCCCAGUAAACGGCGGCCGUAACUAUAACGGUCCUAAGGUAGCGAAAUUCCUUGUCGGGUAAGUUCCGACCUGCACGAAUGGUGUAACGACUUGGUCACUGUCUCAACCACGGGCUCGGUGAACUUGUGGUACCGGUGAAGACGCCGGUUACCCGCAUAUGGACGGAAAGACCCUAUGCACCUUUACUGCACCCUAUUAUUGGGUUCGGACAAAGCAUGUGUAGCAUAGGUGGGAGACUGUGAAGUCGGGGCGCUAGCUUCGAUGGAGUCAGCAGUGAAAUACCACCCUUGCUUUGUUGGAAUUCUAACCUAGUACCGUAAUCCGGUACAGGAACAGUGAUAGGCGGGUAGUUUGACUGGGGCGGUCGCCUCCUAAAUUGUAACGGAGGCUCUCAAUGGUUCCCUCAGCACGGUUGGUAAUCGUGCGGCGAGUGUAAAAGCACAAGGGAGCUUGACUGCGAGACGGACAAGUCGAGCAGGUACGAAAGUAGGAUUUAGUGAUCCGUUGGUUCCGAGUGGAAGGGCCAACGCUCAAAGGAUAAAAGGUACGCUAGGGAUAACAGGCUGAUCUUGCCCAAGAGUUCAUAUCGACGGCAAGGUUUGGCACCUCGAUGUCGGUUCAUCGCUUCAUCGCAUCCUGGGGCUGGAGAAGGUCCCAAGGGUUUGGCUGUUCGCCAAUUAAAGCGGUACGUGAACUGGGUUCAGAACGUCGUGAGACAGUUCGGUCCCUAUCCUAUGCGGGCGCAGGAAAUUUGAGGAGUCUCGUUCUUAGUACGAGAGGACCGGAAUGAACGGACCGACGGUGAAUCUGUUGUCACGCCAGUGGCAUUGCAGAGUAGCCACGUCCGGAUGGGAUAAGCACUGAAAGCAUCUAAGUGCGAAACCCGCUCCAAGAUAAGAUUUCCCUGGGGCUCGUCCCCCUAAAGAAUCCAAGGAGAUGACUUGGUUGAUAGGCUACAGAUAUAAACGCAGUAAUGCGUGAGUCGAGUAGUACUAAUAAUUCGUGAGACUUGCCAAUUCUUUUUU
rnacentral:rRNA from 1 species